rnacentral:rRNA from 1 species
AGAGUUUGAUCAUGGCUCAGGAUGAACGCUAGCGGCAGGCUUAAUACAUGCAAGUUGAGGGGCAGCGCAGUGUAGCAAUACAUGGGCGGCGACCGGCAAACGGGUGCGGAACACGUACAGAACCUUCCUUCGAGCGGGGAAUAGCCCAGAGAAAUUUGGAUUAAUACCCCAUAGUAUUGCAGAGUGGCAUCACUUUGCAAUUAAAGAUUUAUCACUUGAAGAUGGCUGUGCGGCUGAUUAGGUAGUUGGCGGGGUAACGGCCCACCAAGCCUGCGAUCAGUAACUGGUGUGAGAGCACGACCAGUCACACGGGCACUGAGACACGGGCCCGACUCCUACGGGAGGCAGCAGUAAGGAAUAUUGGUCAAUGGACGCAAGUCUGAACCAGCCAUGCCGCGUGGAGGAUGAAGGUCCUCUGGAUUGUAAACUUCUUUUAUUUGGGACGAAAAAGGGUCUUUCUAGAUCAACUGACGGUACCAGAUAAUAGACC